AUGAUUCAUCUGUAAACCCAACCAGACAGGACUGUCCAACAUUUGGACUGAACAAAGGCAGCAGUGAUCAUCUUUAUACUUAGUAAUAGGAAAGCAUAAUUUGUUUCUUGUUUUUCUUGUUUUUUGAUUUGAAAUACUUAGGAACAGAAGUUCUAAUAUUUUCUGUCUGCACUCCAAGGGAUUGGUUCAGAUGCUCCUGCAUUGGAGACCACAGGAAUAACAAAAAAAUUUCUAGAACCCUGGAGAAGGUUGAACCUACUAAGGGGGCUAAAAGGACCCUAUAGAAGGAGGCAGCCAAGACCAGUCAUACGACUCAUCAACCGAGCACAAAACCACCACAAAAACUGAUAGAACUGAUAGCAAAGGAAAAGUACCAUGGCCCUAGUUCUCUUCAGAGGAUGACAGCAUCACCACUCGUUGUAGACAUCAUGGCAGUGGAGACUAAGGCCAGCCCUGCUUCCUCAUGUGCAGUUCCUGUCACAGCAUUCAUAACCCUGUCACCAAUAUGAGAACUACCUCAGGCUAGCCUGCUGGAAGAUAAGAAACAACAUGGACCAGAGCCAAGUCAUCCUAGCCAAGGCUAUCCUAGACCAACCAACACAGCCACAUUCUCAGCUGAUCACAGAUGCAUGAGCAAGCCCAGCCAAGAUCUGCAGAACCACCCAGAGAAACCCAUAGACUCAUGAAAAAUCAUAAAUGUUUGUUGUUUAAGCAACUAAGUUUGGGGAUGGUUUGUUACAUACUAGUAGUUAACUGAUACAAACAACCAUGCUGGACCACUAUACUAUAUUUUCCUUCAAAUGAUACUGGCUUCACUUGACUCUAGGAUCCUCCAGGAAUGGAUAGCUCCAGCUGUGAAGAACCUUCCUUUAGACUAUCACCUCAUUGCUCCUCAUCCCUGUCUUACCCCUGCCCCUACCAUUAUGCCAACCCAUAAAGGCAGUUAUAAUUAUUCCUCACCUUUAUUCCUUAGUUUUUUCUGGAGUAGAGAGGAAACCAGGGUGCCUCAACUCUAGCACAAUUUUGAGCUCUGUUUCCUUGCCUACUUCUUUGCCCAUCUCUCCAUCAUUUAGGAGGUGGGUUGGAAUUAGCCACAGUCAGUUGUGCCAAAAUAAUAUACCAGGGUAAUGAGAAGAAGGCACAGAUAGCGCUGGGAAUCAACCCCUCGCACCUUUGGCCUGUCUCUCAGGGUGAGCUUCUUACUCAGUAGUGGUGGGGACCCAAAGUCCCUGAAGGCAUGCUCCUGCUUUGUCACCUGAUCCCCAAAUGAAACCUUGCAAAGCUAAAUUCUCCCUGCCUGCCAGGACUCAGGCAGGGGGCAGCAAGCAGUACCUACAUAGGACUGAAUGGCCCCAGCUGCUCAACUCGAAUUUAAAAAUAAUUUGGCAAUGUGUUCCACAGAGUGAAAGCCUUCUGGGGCAUUUCUGCCAGAUGCCUCCAGCUACUGGGUUCCCACGGAAAGGGAGUGUCAAGUCCUGGGCCCAGAAGAUAUUCUGGGGAUCUGGAACAGGGUACAUA
rnacentral:lncRNA from 1 species